rnacentral:rRNA from 1 species
AACGCGUGAGAAUCUGCCUUCAGGUUUGGGACAACCACUGGAAACGGUGGCUAAUACCGAAUGUGCCGAGAGGUGAAAGGCUUGCUGCCUGAAGAAGAGCUCGCGUCUGAUUAGCUAGUUGGUGGGGUAAGAGCCUACCAAGGCGACGAUCAGUAGCUGGUCUGAGAGGAUGAUCAGCCACACUGGGACUGAGACACGGCCCAGACUCCUACGGGAGGCAGCAGUGGGGAAUUUUCCGCAAUGGGCGAAAGCCUGACGGAGCAAUACCGCGUGAGGGAGGAAGGCUCUUGGGUCGUAAACCUCUUUUCUCAGGGAAGAAAAAAAUGACGGUACCUGAGGAAUAAGCAUCGGCUAACUCCGUGCCAGCAGCCGCGGUAAUACGGAGGAUGCAAGCGUUAUCCGGAAUGAUUGGGCGUAAAGCGUCCGCAGGUGGCUAUGUAAGUCUGCUGUUAAAGAGUGAGGCUCAACCUCAUAAAAGCAGUGGAAACUACAUUUGCUAGAGUACGUUCGGGGCAGAGGGAAUUCCUGGUGUAGCGGUGAAAUGCGUAGAGAUCAGGAAGAACACCGGUGGCGAAAGCGCUCUGCUAGGCCGUAACUGACACUGAGGGACGAAAGCUAGGGGAGCGAAUGGGAUUA